rnacentral:rRNA from 1 species
AUUGAACGCUGGCGGCAGGCCUAACACAUGCAAGUCGAACGGUAGCACAGAGAGCUUGCUCUCGGGUGAUGAGUGGCGGACGGGUGAGUAAUGUCUGGGAAACUGCCCGAUGGAGGGGGAUAACUACUGGAAACGGUAGCUAAUACCGCAUAAUGUCGCAAGACCAAAGAGGGGGACCUUCGGGCCUCUUGCCAUCGGAUGUGCCCAGAUGGGAUUAGCUUGUUGGUGAGGUAAUGGCUCACCAAGGCGACGAUCCCUAGCUGGUCUGAGAGGGUGACCAGCCACACGGGAACUGAGACACGGUCCAGACUCCUACGGGAGGCAGCAGUGGGGAAUAGUGCACAAUGGGCGCAAGCCUGAUGCAGCCAUGCCGCGUGUGUGAAGAAGGCCUUCGGGUUGUAAAGCACUUUCAGCGGGGAGGAAGGCGAUACGGUUAAUAACCGUGUUGAUUGACGUUACCCGCAGAAGAAGCACCGGCUAACUCCGUG